ensembl:lncRNA novel transcript
GCCCAUCUGUAAACCAGGAAAAGGACCCUCAUCAAACUGAGCUCUGCCAACACACUGAUCUUGGACUUCCCAGCCUCCAGAAUUUCUUGCAAUGGUAAACAACAGACCCUGGAGUUUGAGGACAACACCAAGGUACUGCCAUACUUGAGGUGGAGAUGGCGUUUCUCAGAGGUUGCAGUGAGCCGAGAUUGUACCACUGCAAUCCAGCCUGGUGAAGGAACGAGACUAAAGUCUAAAAGACAAAAAAUAAAACAAACAAACAAAAUA